rnacentral:rRNA from 1 species
GUGGGAAGAAGGCCUUCGGGUUGUAAACCACUUUUGUACGGAACGAAAAGGUCUGCCCUAAUACGGUGGGCCCAUGACGGUACCGUAAGAAUAAGCACCGGCUAACUACGUGCCAGCAGCCGCGGUAAUACGUAGGGUGCGAGCGUUAAUCGGAAUUACUGGGCGUAAAGCGUGCGCAGGCGGUUAUAUAAGACAGUUGUGAAAUCCCCGGGCUCAACCUGGGAACUGCAUCUGUGACUGUAUAGCUAGAGUACGGUAGAGGGGGAUGGAAUUCCGCGUGUAGCAGUGAAAUGCGUAGAUAUGCGGAGGAACACCGAUGGCGAAGGCAAUCCCCUGGACCUGUACUGACGCUCAUGCACGAAAGCGUGGGGAGCAAACAGGAUUAGAUACCCUGGUAGUCCACGCCCUAAACGAUGUCAACUGGUUGUUGGGUUUAUUCGUACUCAGUAACGAAGCUAACGCGUGAAGUUGACCGCC